rnacentral:tRNA from 1 species
GCUUUUGUAGCUCAGUUGGUAGAGCAUUUUCCUGCCAUGAAGGUGGUCGCAGGUUCGAUUCCUGUCAAAAGCG